AUGGCCGCGCCACUCGCGCGUGUGCCGCUGCUUCGUGCGCCCAGCCGGCCCUUCCCCACCUCCCGGAUCAACCCCCGCCGCCACUUCCGGCCGUCGGUGUCGGUCGCCGUAGGAGGCGUCAGCGGCCCCGUGCUCCGCACCUGCAAGAAUUGCAAGAAGCAGUACGACCCGGCUGCGAAUCACCCUUCAUCAUGCCGCUACCACACGGCCCACUUUGGAGGGGAAACAAAGAGAAAAUUUGAAAGUGUCCAUUCUGGUGGGACCAUGGAUACUCCGGGUGCAGGCAAAGUGCUCCAGUACUGGCAUUGUUGUGGGUCAGAGGAUCCAUUUGAUGUUGGUUGUACUGCUGCUCCUCACUCUUCAUACGAUGACUAA
rnacentral:rRNA from 1 species